rnacentral:tRNA from 1 species
AAAGCUUAGGAUUAAAUAUUAAACCAGUGGCCUUCAACACCACAAACAAGGGAGGACCCUUAGCUUUUG